CUUGACUUCCUUGUGUCUGUUGCCUGCCUCCCCCUAGGCUGCACCUGUGUCUACUCUUUGUCCGCUUGUAUUUCCCUGCUCCCCGUUUCCUCCAUUCAUGUUUUACCAAUCUACAAUGCAGGGUCAACUUCUAGGCCUUGACAUAUGUUGAUUGUCAUUUGUGCAUCUGUCGCUCGUGCUCCUGUUCCCAGCCUGUGCUUCCUGACUUGCAUGCUUGCCAGCACUUGUGUGGCUUUGCUUUUAUCCACCAUGCUCGAUUCUGACAGGU